GACGAACGCUGGCGGCGUGCUUAACACAUGCAAGUCGAACGGUAAGGCCCUUCGGGGUACACGAGUGGCGAACGGGUGAGUAACACGUGGGUGAUCUGCCCUGCACUUCGGGAUAAGCCUGGGAAACUGGGUCUAAUACCGGAUAGGACCACUGCCUGCAUGGGUGGUGGUGGAAAGCUUUUGCGGUGUGGGAUGGGCCCGCGGCCUAUCAGCUUGUUGGUGGGGUGAUGGCCUACCAAAGCGACGACGGGUAGCCGGCCUGAGAGGGUGACCGGCCACACUGGGACUGAGAUACUGCCCAGACUCCUACGGGAGGCAGCAGUGGGGAAUAUUGCACAAUGGGCGCAAGCCUGAUGCAGCGACGCCGCGUGAGGGAUGACGGCCUUCGGGUUGUAAACCUCUUUCAGCACCGACGAAGCGCAGGUGACGGUAGGUGCAGAAGAAGGACCGGCCAACUACGUGCCAGCCGCCGCCGUAACAC
rnacentral:rRNA from 1 species